rnacentral:rRNA from 1 species
UACGUAGGGUGCGAGCGUUGUCCGGAAUUAUUGGGCGUAAAGAGCUCGUAGGCGGUUUGUCGCGUCGACUGUGAAAACCCGAGGCUUAACCUCGGGCCUGCAGUCGAUACGGGCAGACUAGAGUUCGGUAGGGGAGACUGGAAUUCCUGGUGUAGCGGUGAAAUGCGCAGAUAUCUGGAGGAACACCGGUGGCGAAGGCGGCAUCCUGGACCGAGAUUGACGCUGAGGCGCGAAAGCUAGGGGAGCAAACGGG